GACGAACGCUGGCGGCGUGCUUAACACAUGCAAGUCGAACGAAGUGGCGAACGGGGGUGUAAUACGUGGGUAACAUGCCCUCCUGUUGGGGAUAAGCCUUGGAAAAGGGGUCUAAAACCGAAUAAAGGGGGAUGGGGUCGCGGACUAUCAGCUUGUUGGUGGGGUGGUGGACUACCAAGGCGGUGACGGGUAGCCGGGCUGAGAGGGUGACCGGCCACAUAGGGACUGAGAUACGGCCUAGAGUAGUAAGGGGGGGAGCAGUAUGGGAUAUUGCAGAAUGGGCGAAAGACUGAUGCAGCGACGCCGCGUGGGGGAUGAAGGCUUUCGGGUUGUAAACCUCUGUCGCUAUCUAACGGGUAGGUGGAGAAGAAGCGCCGGCUAACUACGUGCCAGCAGCCGCGGUAAUAC
rnacentral:rRNA from 1 species